AAGACUUUAAGUUAAAUAAACUAUUAAUCUUCAAAAUUAUUUAUAAAGAUAAAUUUUAAUUCUUUAAGUCUUA
rnacentral:tRNA from 1 species